GACGAACGCUGGCGGCGUGCCUAAUACAUGCAAGUCGAGCGGGGUUUUAAAAGCUUGCUUUUAAAACUUUAGCGGCGGACGGGUGAGUAACACGUGGGCAACCUGCCUGUAAGACUGGGAUAACACCGGGAAACCGGUGCUAAUACCGGAUAAUCCUUUUCAACUCAUGUUGGGAAGCUGAAAGACGGUUUCGGCUGUCACUUACAGAUGGGCGCGCGGCGCAUUAGGUAGUUGGUGAGGUAACGGCUCACCAAGGCAACGAUGCGUAGCCGACCUGAGAGGGUGAUCGGCCACACUGGGACUGAGACACGGCCCAGACUCCUACGGGAGGCAGCAGUAGGGAAUCUUCCGCAAUGGACGAAAGUCUGACGGAGCAACGCCGCGUGAGCGAAGAAGGCCUUCGGGUCGUAAAGCUCUGUUGUCAGGGAAGAACAAGUACCGGAGUAACUGCCGGUACCUUGACGGUACCUGACCAGAAAGCCACGGCUAACUACGUGCCAGCCGCCGCCGUAAUAC
rnacentral:rRNA from 1 species